CUUUGUAAUACUCUCUCUGUCGACUCUGUGACUGUUUCAUCCUUGCCUACUACUCUUCAAAUGCGACCUCUCCAUUCCUUAUUUCGUCAUUGUUAAAUGUCGCAUCUCAAUACCCUAUAGGACUUGGUUCAAUUUUGCUUGACACAAACCGACAUUAAGGUUGGUUUCAUUACCUGGCAGCACAAAACCCAUUAACCAUGUCACCUCUUCUUCACUUUGAUGACUGACUAGCAUCCAAAUGCGUUUUCCACCACGCAAUAUCUGUCCCACUGGCCUCUAUAUAGAAGUUACUGGAACGUCUUAAAAGUAAAGAGUCACAGAAGUUCCACCCCACCCUUAGAAUUUAAAGUACCCACCCCCACUUACAAAUACAAAUACAAUAUCCACUGCUAUUCUCAUUGUUGAGUCCAGCGCACCUAGCAUUAUGUAUGAAUAUUACUAUGUAUGCAU
rnacentral:sRNA from 1 species